rnacentral:rRNA from 1 species
GGACUACUGGGGUAUCUAAUCCUGUUCGCUCCCCAUGCUUUCGCUCCUCAGCGUCAGUUGCGGCCCAGUGACCUGCCUUCGCCAUCGGUGUUCCUCCUGAUAUCUGCGCAUUCCACCGCUACACCAGGAAUUCCAGUCACCCCUACCGCACUCUAGUCCGCCCGUACCCACUGCACGCCCCAGGUUGAGCCUGAGGAUUUCACAGCAGACGCGACGAACCGCCUACGAGCUCUUUACGCCCAAUAAUUCCGGACAACGCUUGCGCCCUACGUAUUACCGCGGCGGCUGGCAC